CCUACGGGAGGCAGCAGUAGGGAAUAUUGCUCAAUGGGGGAAACCCUGAAGCAGCAACGCCGCGUGGACGAUGAAGGUUUUCGGAUUGUAAACUCCUUUUGUUAGAGAAGAUAAUGACGGUACCUAACGAAUAAGCCCCGGCUAACUCCGUGCCAGCAGCCGCGGUAAUACGGAGGGGGCUAGCGUUACCCGGAAUCACUGGGCGUAAAGAGCGCGUAGGCGGGAUAGCAAGUCAGAUGUGAAAUCCUAAGGCUUAACCAUAGUACUGCAUUUGAAACUGGUAAUCUAGAGUAUGGGAGAGGUAGGUGGAAUUCUUGGUGUAGCGGUAAAAUCCGUAGAGAUCAGGAGGAAUACUAGUUGCGAAGGCGACCUGCUAGAACAUAACUGACGCUGAGGCACGAAAGCGUGGGGAGCAAACAGGAUUAGAUACCCGUGUAGUC
rnacentral:rRNA from 1 species